GAUGAAGAACGCAGCGAAAUGCGAUAAGUAAUGUGAAUUGCAGAAUUCAGUGAAUCAUCGAAUCUUUGAACACACAUUGCGCCCGCCAGUAUUCUGGCGGGCAUGCCUGUUCGAGCGUCAUUUCAACCCUCAAGCCCCCGGGCUUGGUGUUGGGGAUCGGCGUGCCCUCGCGGCGCGCCGUCCCCUAAAUCUAGUGGCGGUCUCGCUGUAGCUUCCUCUGCGUAGUAGCAACACUCGCACUGGAUCGCAGCGCGGCCACGCCGUUAAACCCCCCACUUCUGAAAGUUUGACCUCGGAUCAGGUAGGAAUACCCGCUGAACUUAAGCAUAUCAAUAAGCGGAGGA
rnacentral:misc_RNA from 1 species